rnacentral:lncRNA from 1 species
CAACAAAAUGAGUAAAAAGGGCCUUCCUCACUGUCCAUCUCUCUCCCUUAAUCGAUGUUCUGCAUGACAUCCUCGGCCGUGAACUUGGUCCCCUUGUCCUUGUCAGCGGCAGCGCGUCCCUGGGCCUUGCGAUCGAGCAGGGACUUGCGGUCCUUGUCGAGCCGGAGCUUCGUGAUCAAGACCUUCGAGGGAUGGAUCCCCACGUUCACGGUCGACCCAUUGACCUUCUCGCGAGUGAUGCGCUCGAUGUGGAUGACCCACUUCUUGCGGUAGACCUGGACGACCUUCCCCUCGCGGCCCUUGUAAGUGCCGCGGACCACCUGGACCUCGUCGUCCUUG